UCAGGUCCGCUAGCUGAGUUGCCUGCGGUGUGAGGGAGAAGGACGCUCUCCAACUUCCCCCCCGUUCGGUGCCGGCCGUUUCUCCCGGAGCUUUUCGUUUCUGCACCCGGUUCGCCUGCACGUAACUCACCAACUGUGGGGACAGAGACUUCGAAGCCUCCACCCCGUGCCUGCGGGUCGUGGGUUGGUCUGAGGAAUUGGCAGCCAGGUGGGCGCCGCUCCCCACCGAGACUUGCCGGCGGGCCAGGCUGCGUCACACAGGGACGUUCCAGCGCGGCCGCCUCCCGACCGGGUUUGUGGAAGCCUUCGGUGGGGAAGGCUGGAGAGUGUUCUCCCUCCCACGAUUCCGGGAGCGGAGGGAGGAAGCACGAAUUCCCUAUGAUGGAUCCAAGAAACGAUGGACCCUGGAAGGGAGCACACUUUUGCGACUUUGAUGCAUUGUUUUGAGAGGCCUGUCAUAAUUCAACAGGAACAAGGACUAUCAAAAUGUGUGGUCAUCACCUUCAGAUUCUGCACAUUUUGAAAUGGAUGCUUCUCAUGAAAAAUUACAAAGCAUGUCAGAGUGGAUGCCAUGAAUUUCAGCCGUCUUUCUCAAGAUACAACUCACUCUGAUUCUUCCUUCUAUAUGGAAGCCAGCAAUACCACUUCGCAUUUGCCUCAGGUGUGCUUUGCUUGUAAGUUCUGCGAGGUACUGCUGUAUUCAGCCUCCACAUUGUCUUCCAUGUGAAAAUUUCUUUAAAACUAUGAGGAACAAUGAAAAUCUCUGGUAGAAGCACAGAGGAGGGAAAUACAGUCUGUUUUUCCCAGUUCCAUUAAUCUACCAAAAGAGGUGGAAUUUUACAAAUAAAGGGUUAAAACUGAUCCUUUCUAGCCUCCUUGAGAAGUCCCAAGAGUGUAACCAGGGGACAUGGCCACAGCAACUCAGUCACUAGAGGCAGGAGAAGAGCCCAAGUGGACUGACAACUGGUCUAGGGUAUCUUCCAUUAUGUCAGCAUGGAAAUGACUCAAAUGCCAUUCGUAAUGACACUGACAAGGCCCUGUGUGUAAAUGACUUCCUUGCCAUCUUGAAAAUGCCUAGUACUCCUCCCCACAAAAUAAAAGAGAUUGUAUUGUCCCAA